rnacentral:rRNA from 1 species
UGAGCAACCUGCCCUCAGCUUUGGGAUAACCCUCGGAAACGGGGCUAAUACCGGAUAUUCACUGCUUCGCGCAUGUGGGGUGGUGGAAAGUUUUUCGGCUGGGGAUGGGCUCGCGGCCUAUCAGCUUGUUGGUGGGGUGAUGGCCUACCAAGGCGACGACGGGUAGCCGGCCUGAGAGGGCGACCGGCCGCACUGGGACUGAGACACGGCCCAGACUCCUACGGGAGGCA